rnacentral:lncRNA from 1 species
UCCGCCCUUCGUUUUUUUCAAGCAUCUCGGAACAUCUUCUCUUUUUUUUUAUUCUAGGUUGAGGCUCAUCUCGUGGGUCUUCUUGAUCCAUGUGCCUCGAGGUCAGACCUGAGGGGAAAAACAAACGAACGAAAUUUUCUGCCCCAGUUUAACAAGGAAAAUUUCGUGAGUUAUUUGCUAGGAUGUUCAUAGAAUUGAUGAAGGAAUUUGAAAAUUUCAGUUUCCGAAAUGCCAACUCCGGGAUUGGAUCAACGAUAUUGCCACAAGGUAAGAAUACUCAGUUUAGGGUUGGAUCCCUAAGGCUGGCGGAAUGGAAAUAGUUCAGUUCAUGGUUGGAGCCCUGAUGCUGACUAGCUGGGGAGAAGCUCAGUUUAGAGUUGAAACCCUAAUGCUGACCAACUGGGGAAGAGUUCAGUUUAGGGUUUAAAACCCUAAUGCUGACUAAAGGGAAGAGUUCAGUUUAGGGUUUAAGCCCUAAUCCUGAUUAAAGGGAAAGGUUCAGUUUAGGGUUUAAAACCCUAAUGCUGACUAAAGGGAAAAGUUCAGUUUAGGGUUUAAAACCCUAAUGCUGACUGAAGGAAAAAGUUCAGUUUAGGGUUUAAAACCCUAACGCUGACUAAGGAAAAGAGUUCAGUUUAGCGUUUAAAACCCUAAUGCUGACUAAAGGGAAGAAGUUUAGUUUAGGGUUUAAAACCCUAAUGCUGACUAAAGGAAAAAGUUCAGUUUAGGGUUUAAAACCCUAAUACU